GAAACAUCUUAGUACCCGGAGGAAGAGAAAGAAAAUUCGAUUCCCUUAGUAGCGGCGAGCGAAACGGGAAGAGCCCAAACCAACAAGCUUGCUUGUUGGGGUUGUAGGACACUCUAUACGGAGUUACAAAGGACGACAUUAGACGAAUCAUCUGGAAAGAUGAAUCAAAGAAGGUAAUAAUCCUGUAGUCGAAAAUGUUGUCUCUCUUGAGUGGAUCCUGAGUACGACGGAGCACGUGAAAUUCCGUCGGAAUCUGGGAGGACCAUCUCCUAAGGCUAAAUACUCUCUAGUGACCGAUAGUGAACCAGUACCGUGAGGGAAAGGUGAAAAGCACCCCGGAAGGGGAGUGAAAUAGAACCUGAAACCGUGUGCUUACAAGUAGUCAGAGCCCGUUAAUGGGUGAUGGCGUGCCUUUUGUAGAAUGAACCGGCGAGUUACGAUUUGAUGCAAGGUUAAGCAGUAAAUGUGGAGCCGUAGCGAAAGCGAGUCUGAAUAGGGCGUUUAGUAUUUGGUCGUAGACCCGAAACCAGGUGAUCUACCCUUGGUCAGGUUGAAGUUCAGGUAACACUGAAUGGAGGACCGAACCGACUUACGUUGAAAAGUGAGCGGAUGAACUGAGGGUAGCGGAGAAAUUCCAAUCGAACCUGGAGAUAGCUGGUUCUCUCCGAAAUAGCUUUAGGGCUAGCCUCAAGUGAUGAUUAUUGGAGGUAGAGCACUGUUUGGACGAGGGGCCCCUCUCGGGUUACCGAAUUCAGACAAACUCCGAAUGCCAAUUAAUUUAACUUGGGAGUCAGAACAUGGGUGAUAAGGUCCGUGUUCGAAAGGGAAACAGCCCAGACCACCAGCUAAGGUCCCAAAAUAUAUGUUAAGUGGAAAAGGAUGUGGCGUUGCCCAGACAACUAGGAUGUUGGCUUAGAAGCAGCCAUCAUUUAAAGAGUGCGUAAUAGCUCACUAGUCGAGUGACACUGCGCCGAAAAUGUACCGGGGCUAAACAUAUUACCGAAGCUGUGGAUUGUCCUUUGGACAAUGGUAGGAGAGCGUUCUAAGGGCGUUGAAGCAUGAUCGUAAGGACAUGUGGAGCGCUUAGAAGUGAGAAUGCCGGUGUGAGUAGCGAAAGACGGGUGAGAAUCCCGUCCACCGAUUGACUAAGGUUUCCAGAGGAAGGCUCGUCCGCUCUGGGUUAGUCGGGUCCUAAGCUGAGGCCGACAGGCGUAGGCGAUGGAUAACAGGUUGAUAUUCCUGUACCACCUAUAAUCGUUUUAAUCGAUGGGGGGACGCAGUAGGAUAGGCGAAGCGUGCGAUUGGAUUGCACGUCUAAGCAGUAAGGCUGAGUAUUAGGCAAAUCCGGUACUCGUUAAGGCUGAGC
rnacentral:rRNA from 1 species